rnacentral:rRNA from 1 species
UACGUAGGGGGCGAGCGUUAUCCGGAUUCACUGGGCGUAAAGGGAGCGCAGGCGGCACGGCAAGUCCGGUGUGAAAGCCCGGGGCCCAACCCCGGGACUGCACUGGAAACUAUGUUACUAGAGUGCAGGAGAGGUAAGCGGAAUUCCUAGUGUAGCGGUGAAAUGCGUAGAUAUUAGGAGGAACACCAGUGGCGAAGGCGGCUUACUGGACUGUAACUGACGUUGAGGCUCGAAAGCGUGGGGAGCAAACAGG